rnacentral:rRNA from 1 species
CGGGACACGUGGUAUCCUGUCUGAAUAUGGGGGGACCAUCCUCCAAGGCUAAAUACUCCUGACUGACCGAUAGUGAACCAGUACCGUGAGGGAAAGGCGAAAAGAACCCCGGCGAGGGGAGUGAAAAAGAACCUGAAACCGUGUACGUACAAGCAGUGGGAGCACGCUUAGGCGUGUGACUGCGUACCUUUUGUAUAAUGGGUCAGCGACUUAUAUUCUGUAGCAAGGUUAACCGAAUAGGGGAGCCGAAGGGAAACCGAGUCUUAACUGGGCGUUAAGUUGCAGGGUAUAGACCCGAAACCCGGUGAUCUAGCCAUGGGCAGGUUGAAGGUUGGGUAACACUAACUGGAGGACCGAACCGACUAAUGUUGAAAAAUUAGCGGAUGACUUGUGGCUGGGGGUGAAAGGCCAAUCAAACCGGGAGAUAGCUGGUUCUCCCCGAAAGCUAUUUAGGUAGCGCCUCGUGAAUUCAUCUCCGGGGGUAGAGCACUGUUUCGGCAAGGGGGUCAUCCCGACUUACCAACCCGAUGCAAACUGCGAAUACCGGAGAAUGUUAUCACGGGAGACACACGGCGGGUGCUAACGUCCGUCGUGAAGAGGGAAACAACCCAGACCGCCAGCUAAGGUCCCAAAGUCAUGGUUAAGUGGGAAACGAUGUGGGAAGGCCCAGACAGCCAGGAUGUUGGCUUAGAAGCAGCCAUCAUUUAAAGAAAGCGUAAUAGCUCACUGGUCGAGUCGGCCUGCGCGGAAGAUGUAACGGGGCUAAACCAUGCACCGAAGCUGCGGCAGCGACGCUUAUGCGUUGUUGGGUAGGGGAGCGUUCUGUAAGCCUGUGAAGGUGUGCUGUGAGGCAUGCUGGAGGUAUCAGAAGUGCGAAUGCUGACAUAAGUAACGAUAAAGCGGGUGAAAAGCCCGCUCGCCGGAAGACCAAGGGUUCCUGUCCAACGUUAAUCGGGGCAGGGUGAGUCGACCCCUAAGGCGAGGCCGAAAGGCGUAGUCGAUGGGAAACAGGUUAAUAUUCCUGUACUUGGUGUUACUGCGAAGGGGGGACGGAGAAGGCUAUGUUGGCCGGGCGACGGUUGUCCCGGUUUAAGCGUGUAGGCUGGUUUUCCAGGCAAAUCCGGAAAAUCAAGGCUGAGGCGUGAUGACGAGGCACUACGGUGCUGAAGCAACAAAUGCCCUGCUUCCAGGAAAAGCCUCUAAGCAUCAGGUAACAUCAAAUCGUACCCCAAACCGACACAGGUGGUCAGGUAGAGAAUACCAAGGCGCUUGAGAGAACUCGGGUGAAGGAACUAGGCAAAAUGGUGCCGUAACUUCGGGAGAAGGCACGCUGAUAUGUAGGUGAAGUCCCUUGCGGAUGGAGCUGAAAUCAGUCGAAGAUACCAGCUGGCUGCAACUGUUUAUUAAAAACACAGCACUGUGCAAACACGAAAGUGGACGUAUACGGUGUGACGCCUGCCCGGUGCCGGAAGGUUAAUUGAUGGGGUUAGCGCAAGCGAAGCUCUUGAUCGAAGCCCCGGUAAACGGCGGCCGUAACUAUAACGGUCCUAAGGUAGCGAAAUUCCUUGUCGGGUAAGUUCCGACCUGCACGAAUGGCGUAAUGAUGGCCAGGCUGUCUCCACCCGAGACUCAGUGAAAUUGAACUCGCUGUGAAGAUGCAGUGUACCCGCGGCAAGACGGAAAGACCCCGUGAACCUUUACUAUAGCUUGACACUGAACAUUGAGCCUUGAUGUGUAGGAUAGGUGGGAGGCUUGGAAGUGUGGACGCCAGUCUGCAUGGAGCCGACCUUGAAAUACCACCCUUUAAUGUUUGAUGUUCUAACGUUGACCCGUAAUCCGGGUUGCGGACAGUGUCUGGUGGGUAGUUUGACUGGGGCGGUCUCCUCCUAAAGAGUAACGGAGGAGCACGAAGGUUGGCUAAUCCUGGUCGGACAUCAGGAGGUUAGUGCAAUGGCAUAAGCCAGCUUGACUGCGAGCGUGACGGCGCGAGCAGGUGCGAAAGCAGGUCAUAGUGAUCCGGUGGUUCUGAAUGGAAGGGCCAUCGCUCAACGGAUAAAAGGUACUCCGGGGAUAACAGGCUGAUACCGCCCAAGAGUUCAUAUCGACGGCGGUGUUUGGCACCUCGAUGUCGGCUCAUCACAUCCUGGGGCUGAAGUAGGUCCCAAGGGUAUGGCUGUUCGCCAUUUAAAGUGGUACGCGAGCUGGGUUUAGAACGUCGUGAGACAGUUCGGUCCCUAUCUGCCGUGGGCGCUGGAGAACUGAGGGGGGCUGCUCCUAGUACGAGAGGACCGGAGUGGACGCAUCACUGGUGUUCGGGUUGUCAUGCCAAUGGCACUGCCCGGUAGCUAAAUGCGGAAGAGAUAAGUGCUGAAAGCAUCUAAGCACGAAACUUGCC